rnacentral:tRNA from 1 species
GCCUGGGUGGCUCAGUAGGUUAAGCAUCUGACUUCGGCUCAGGUCAUGAUCUCGCUAUCUGUGAGUUUGAGCCCCACGUCAGGCU